rnacentral:rRNA from 1 species
AUUGAACGCUGGCGGAAUGCUUUACACAUGCAAGUCGAGCGGCAGCACGGGGGCAACCCUGGUGGCGAGCGGCGAACGGGUGAGUAAUACAUCGGAACAUGCCCAGUCGUGGGGGAUAACACUUCGAAAGAAGUGCUAAUACCGCAUACGUCCUGAGGGAGAAAGCGGGGGAUCUUCGGACCUCGCGCGAUUGGAGUGGCCGAUGUCAGAGUAGCUAGUUGGUGGGGUAAAGGCCUACCAAGGCAACGAUCUGUAGCUGGUCUGAGAGGAUGAUCAGCGACACUGGGACUGAGACACGGCCCAGACUCCUACGGGAGGCAGCAGUGGGGAAUUUUGGACAGUGGGGGCAACCCUGAUCCAGCCAUUCCGCGUGAGUGAAGAAGGCCUUCGGGUUGUAAAGCUCUUUCGGCAGGAACGAAACGGCGAGCUCUAACAUAGCUUGCUAAUGACGGUACCUGAAGAAGAAGCACCGGCUAACUACGUGCCAGCAGCCGCCGUAAUAC